rnacentral:lncRNA from 1 species
GUGUUUAUAUACUAUUAACAGAUUUCCAGUGAUCAAAUAUCUGAGAAAAUUUAAAGCUAGUCAGGAGCUCUUCGGAGGAAACUCGAGAAUGAAGCUCACAAAUGGAGAUAAACGAGAGAGAUGAAAGAGAAGACAGGAUAGAGAAAACAGUAAUAAUUUUCUUGUUAAUUCCCCAAAAUGAAUAUGUACGGGUUUUAUAUCUAAUACUUCCUCCGUUUCAUAAUAAUGAAUUGUUGAAUUUUGG